GGCCCGUUGGUGACCUAAGGCUGUGGAGAAAGCUUGUGUGGCCACUAGACAAAGAGUCUGAUAGAAAAACAAUAACCUGCCGGGGCUGAGACCAGCUGGUCUUUGCCAGACGAACACCCCUGAGCCCCCAAAGCCCAAUAACAUACCUGUGGAGAAGCAGGCAGUGGAAUGUCCCUAAGGGGCAAACUCAUUACUUCUGGCAAGAGCAACGAGGAAGCCAGAGACAAUUCAAGGGAGGAGCUGUAUUGGCUGCCUAUCAAUUGUUGUGCAACUGAGAAAAUGUCUCCAAGAACAAGAUACUCACGUGUCACCGUGCAUGGUACUUGAAGCUCCACCGUGAAGGGCUGUAGAGGUGACUCGGUGAUUAAGAGCUUCCUGCUGUUGUAUAAGACUGAAUUCUGUUCCCAGCUCCCAUGUCCAGUGACUGACAACCAGCUACAGCCCAAGCUCCAGGGGAUCAGAAGCCCUCUUCUGGCUCCCACAUAGACAAAGCAUGAGUACAGGCACACACACACACACACACACAC